AUUGAACGCUGGCGGCAUGCUUUACACAUGCAAGUCGAACGGUAACAGGCCGCAAGGUGCUGACGAGUGGCGAACGGGUGAGUAAUGCAUCGGAACGUGCCCAGUCGUGGGGGAUAACGCAGCGAAAGCUGUGCUAAUACCGCAUACGAUCUGGGGAUGAAAGCGGGGGACCGUAAGGCCUCGCGCUGUUGGAGCGGCCGAUGUCAGAUUAGGUAGUUGGGGGGGGAAAGGCUCACCAAGCCGACGAUCUGUAGCCGGUCUGAGAGGACGACCAGCCACACUGGGACUGAGACACGGCCCAGACUCCUACGGGAGGCAGCAGUAGGGAAUUUUGGACAAUGGGCGCAAGCCUGAUCCAGCAAUGCCGCGUGCAGGAAGAAGGCCUUCGGGUUGUAAACUGCUUUUGUCAGGGAAGAAAUCUUCUGGGUUAAUACCUCGGGAGGAUGACGGUACCUGAAGAAUAAGCACCGGCUAACUACGUGCCAGCCGCCGCGGUAACAC
rnacentral:rRNA from 1 species